CUACGGGCGGCAGCAGUGGGGAAUAUUGCGCAAUGGGCGAAAGCCUGACGCAGCAACGCCGUGUGAGGGAUGAAGGCUUUCGGGUCGUAAACCUCUGUCGGAAGGGAAGAACGGGCAUUGGUCUAAUAGGCCUUUGUUUUGACGGUACCUUUAGAGGAAGCACCGGCUAACUCCGUGCCAGCAGCCGCGGUAAUACGGAGGGUGCAAGCGUUAUUCGGAAUUACUGGGCGUAAAGCGCACGUAGGCCGUUUUGUAAGUCAGGGGUGAAAUCCCACGGCUCAACCGUGGAACUGCCUUUGAAACUGCAGGACUUGAAUCCUGGGGAGGGUGGCGGAAUUCCUGGUGUAGGAGUGAAAUCCGUAGAUAUCAGGAGGAACACCGGUGGCGAAGGCGGCCACCUGGACAGGUAUUGACGCUGAGGUGCGAAAGUGUGGGGAGCAAACAGGAUUAGAUACCCCUGUAGUC
rnacentral:rRNA from 1 species